UAAUUCAGUCUUUGGGGUCCUGCUGAUAUUUGACGUAGCUGGAUCCUGUUGAUUGAAUUAUG
rnacentral:pre_miRNA from 1 species